rnacentral:rRNA from 1 species
AGUGAACGCUAGCGGCGUGCUUAACACAUGCAAGUCUGACGGUUUAUAGCAAUAUAAACGGUGGCAAACGGGUGAGUAAUGUAUAGGAAUCUACCUAGAAGAAAGGGACAACAGUUGGAAACGACUGCUAAUACCUUAUACUACCACUUGUGGGAAAGGAGUAAUCCGCUUUUAGAUGAGCCUAUAUCUGAUUAGUUAGUUGGUAGGGUAAAGGCCUACCAAGACAAAGAUCAGUAGCCGAUCUGAGAGGAUGGUCGGCCACACUGGGACUGAGACACGGCCCAGACUCCUACGGGAGGCAGCAGUGGGGAAUAUUGGACAAUGGGCGCAAGCCUGAUCCAGCAAUGCCGCGUGCAGGAAGAAGGCCUUCGGGUUGUAAACUGCUUUUGUACGGAACGAAACGGUCCGGGUUAAUACCCUGGGCUAAUGACGGUACCGUAAGAAUAAGCAUCGGCUAACUACGUGCCAGCAGCCGCGGUAA